rnacentral:rRNA from 1 species
ACGGGUGAGUAAUGUCUGGGGAUCUGCCCGAUAGAGGGGGAUAACCACUGGAAACGGUGGCUAAUACCGCAUAACGUCGCAAGACCAAAGAGGGGGACCUUCGGGCCUCUCACUAUCGGAUGAACCCAGAUGGGAUUAGCUAGUAGGCGGGGUAACGGCCCACCUAGGCGACGAUCCCUAGCUGGUCUGAGAGGAUGACCAGCCACACUGGAACUGAGACACGGUCCAGACUCCUACGGGAGGCAGCAGUGGGGAAUAUUGCACAAUGGGCGCAAGCCUGAUGCAGCCAUGCCGCGUGUAUGAAGAAGGCCUUCGGGUUGUAAAGUACUUUCAGCGGGGAGGAAGGCGAUAAGGUUAAUAACCUUGUCGAUUGACGUUACCCGCAGAAGAAGCACCGGCUAACUCCGUGCCAGCAGCCGCGGUAAUACGGAGGGUGCAAGCGUUAAUCGGAAUUACUGGGCGUAAAGCGCACGCAGGCGGUCUGUUAAGUCAGAUGUGAAAUCCCCGGGCUUAACCUGGGAACUGCAUUUGAAACUGGCAGGCUUGAGUCUCGUAGAGGGGGGUAGAAUUCCAGGUGUAG